UGCCGGUGACAAACCGGAGGAAAGUGGGGAUGACGUCAAGUCCUCAUGGCCCUUAUGGUAGGGCUUCACACGUCAUACAAUGGUCGGUACAGAGGGUUGCCAACCCGCGAGGGGAGCUAAUCCCACAAAGCCGAUCGUAGUCCGGAUCGCAGUCUGCAACUCGACUGCGUGAAGUCGGAAUCGCUAGUAAUCGUGGAUCAGCAUGUCACGGUGAAUACGUUCCCGGGUCUU
rnacentral:rRNA from 1 species